rnacentral:piRNA from 1 species
AAUAUCUGUUGGGAAGGAAAUGUCC